GCAGACGUCACGGCGCCGGGCGGGGGCCGCUGACGGGAGGCGCUGACGGCGCCUACGUGUCACCGUGGAAACCAAACAGUAAAUAGAGGACUGGCGGUCUCCUGGUGCUGCUGUCGGCGGGAGCGAGCUGACCUAGGGCAAAGGGCCGGAAGCUGGGAUGGGUUAGGUGACACCUUGGCCUUGGCAGAGCUGGGUGAGGGCGGGUGCAGGGAUGUCGAGACCACCGGGAGGAGCUUGGACUGCCGGCAGAGAGGAGCCUUCCUACCCAUCCCGAGCUUUCAUCGGCCUGCAGGGUUUUGCGGACUUGGUUUUCUUUACCAGCCGCUGAGUAUGCAUGCAGUCGUUGGGAGCACUUUAUCCUGGGCUCAGAUUCCAGGGCCGCCACUCUACGUGGAUAAUGAAGUACAGGCCACAGUCUUUCUGUGCCCUAGACUGUCAUCUAUAAAGUAUGAGCCACGGUACCCUGUACAAACAAACAGUUCUGGCGCUCAAACCCAGCACUUCUUCAAUGUUCGGCAAGCAUUCUGGCCACGAAAGCACAGCCUCAGCCCUGUGACUAUUUUUAAUAAAAAUCUAUAUAUAUUUUUUUAAUGUA